rnacentral:tRNA from 1 species
GCCUUCUUGGUGUAGUGGUCAGCACGCUGAGUGCGUACUCCAGAGGCUCGUGGUUCAAGUCCCGGCGAAGGCG